GACGAACGCUGGCGGCGUGCUUAACACAUGCAAGUCGAACGGAAAGGCCCUGCUUUUGUGGGGUGCUCGAGUGGCGAACGGGUGAGUAACACGUGAGUAACCUGCCCUUGACUUUGGGAUAACUUCAGGAAAAUGGGGCUAAUACCGGAUAGGAGCUCCUGCUGCAUGGUGGUGGUUGGAAAGUUUCGGCGGUAGUGGAUGGUCUCGCGGCUUAUCAGCUUGUUGGUGAGGUAGUGGCUUACCAAGGCUUUGACGGGUAGCCGGCCUGGGAGGGUGACCGGCCACAUUGGGACUGAGAUACGGCCCAGACUCCUACGGGAGGCAGCAGUGGGGAAUAUUGCACAAUGGGCGGGAGCCUGAUGCAGCAGCGCCGCGUGCGGGAUGACGGCCUUCGGGUUGUGAACCGCUUUCGACUGUGACGAAGCGUGAGUGACGGUAAUGGGUAAAGAAGCAACGGCUAACUACGUG
rnacentral:rRNA from 1 species